GCUCCUAUCGUCUAGAGGCCUAGGACACUGGCCUUUCACGCCGGCGACAGGGGUUCGAAUCCCCUUGGGAGCG
rnacentral:tRNA from 1 species